rnacentral:misc_RNA from 1 species
UGGCGAGGAAACAAAAGACGUAUUCACUUUUGGAGGCUGAUGAUGAAGAUGACAAUAUUGUCGGUGUGGAAAGUAGUUCCGUUCCUUCUCAGACUAGGAAAGAGGAUACCCGUAUAAAGAAGUUCAGGAAGAGGGUUGAGACCCAUGGAGACGAAGAUGAUGAGGUAGUUAAGGAUGAGGAGGAUGAUAGACGGGUUCGGA